GCUCAUCCAUCUGAGUGUCUUCUGAAAAUCCAUCCUCACAGGGCAAAUAAGGCUGCACACAGAGGAACCCUCUGCGCCUGCAUGGUCUUCUGGGAUCUUUUACGCCAAUACUACAGUUUAGAGAUGGUGUCUUUUCCAAUGUGGAAUGGAAUUCCACUGACAUCCCCCUCUGAGUGAGUGAGAAGGAGGACAAAACCCACAGAAAAAAAGAGGAGGAGACAAGAGAGAGAGAGAGAGAUGUUACGGAGGCCUGUGGCGAUGCAGUGGCGCUCAAACACCGACAGAUAGUGGCUGUUCUGGAAGCUACGCUCCAGGAUG